UCCGUAGGCGGGCAAUUAAGUCAGAGGUGAAAUCCCACAGCUCAACUGUGGAACUGCCUUUGAUACUGGUUGUCUUGAGUUACAGUGAAGUAGAUAGAAUGUGUAGUGUAGCGGUGAAAUGCAUAGAUAUUACAUAGAAUACCGAUUGCGAAGGCAGUCUACUAACUGUAUACUGACGCUAAUGGACGAAAGCGUGGGGAGCGAACAGGAUUAGAUACCCUGGUAGUCC
rnacentral:rRNA from 1 species